rnacentral:tRNA from 1 species
UCCUCCGUGGCGCAAUUGGCUAGCGCGUCUGACUGUUACGCUUGUAUCUAGUGUACUAGCAGCAAUCAGGAGGUUGACAGUUCAAGCCUGUCCGGGGGAG